GGCUCAGAUGAAACGCUGGCGGCGUGCUUAACACAUGCAAGUCGAUCGGUAACAGGUGUAGCAAUACAUGCUGACGAGAGGCGGACGGGUGAGGAACGCUUGGGAAUCUGCCUAUCAGCGGGGGACAACCCGGGGAAACUCGGGCUAAUACCGCAUACGCUCUACGGAGGAAAGCCGGGGACCGCAAGGCCUGGCACUGAUAGAUGAGCCCAAGUCGGAUUAGCUAGUUGGCGGGGUAACAGCCCACCAAGGCUACGAUCCGUAGCUGGUCUGAGAGGACGAUCAGCCACACCGGAACUGAGACACGGUCCGGACUCCUACGGGAGGCAGCAGUGGGGAAUAUUGGACAAUGGGGGAAACCCUGAUCCAGCGACGCCGCGUGGGUGAAGAAGGCCUGCGGGUUGUAAAGCCCUUUCGGUAGGGACGAAAACUCUUGCCCUAACAAGGCAGGAGCUUGACUUAACCUACAUAAGAAGCACCGGCUAACUCUGUGCCAGCAGCCGCGGUAAUACAGAGGGUGCGAGCGUUAAUCGGAAUUACUGGGCGUAAGGCGCACGUAGGCGGCUUUGUAAGUCGGAUGUGAAAUCCCCGGGCUCAACCUGGGAACUGCACCCGAAACUACAUUGCUAGAGUAUGGGAGAGGGAGGCGGAAUUUCCGGUGUAGCAGUGAAAUGCGUAGAUAUCGGAAGGAACAUCAGUGGCGAAGGCGGCCUCCUGGACCAAUACUGACGCUCAGGUGCGAAAGCGUGGGGAGCAAACAGGAUUAGAUACCCUGGUAGUCCACGCCCUAAACGAUGAGAACUGGAUGUCGGGAGGGUUUGCCUUCCGGUGUCGUAGCUAACGCGAUAAGUUCUCCGCCUGGGGAGUACGGCCGCAAGGGUGAAACUC
rnacentral:rRNA from 1 species